rnacentral:misc_RNA from 1 species
CACGUAGGUGGCUAGCGUUGUUCGGAAUCACUGGGCAUAAAGCGUUCGUAGGCGGCUCGCUAAGUCCGAUGUGAAAGCCCCCGGCUUAACCGGGGAAUUGCAUUGGAUACUGGUGGGCUUGAGGGCCGGAGGGGAGAGUGGAAUUCCUGGUGGAGCGGUGAAAUGCGUAGAUAUCAGGAGGAACGCCGGUGGCGAAAGCGACUCUCUGGACGGUUUCUGACGCUGAGGGACGAAAGCUAGGGGAGCGAACGGG